UUACAAAGCGGUGUUCGGGCACGAAGAAUUUUGAUUUCUUAGGAAAGGGUCAGACCCUUCUGGUAAG
rnacentral:tRNA from 1 species